UACGAAGGGGGCUAGCGUUGCUCGGAAUUACUGGGCGUAAAGGGCGCGUAGGCGGACAGCUUAGUCAGAGGUGAAAGCCCAGGGCUCAACCUUGGAAUUGCCUUUGAUACUGGCUGUCUUGAGUUCGGGAGAGGUGAGUGGAAUGCCGAGUGUAGAGGUGAAAUUCGUAGAUAUUCGGCGGAACACCAGUGGCGAAGGCGGGUCUCUGGGCAAUUCCUGACGCUGAGGCGCGAAAGCGUGGGGAGCAAACGGG
rnacentral:rRNA from 1 species